AGGUUCCAUUUUUUGGGCCUCUGUUCGAUGGAGCCAUAGUGAGUGGGAAGCUGCUGCCAAGCCUUGUAUGUGCCACAUGCAUCAACGCCAGCAGGGCUGUGAAGUGCCUCAUCCCACUCUACCAGAGCUUCUAUGAAGAGCGAGCUCUGUAUCUCGAAGCAAUAAUUCAGAACCACCGCGAAGUCAUGACAUUCGAGGAUUUCGCAGCCCAAGUCUUUUCUCCCUCUCCCAGCUACUCCCUCAGCGGAACGGAUUAAAACACGUAAAGGUCUCAUUACAAUAUUUGAGCAAGGGGCCCUGGCCUCCAGUCUGAGUGCUGACCUCGAAGAGCCCCUGAGUGAGGAGGAGACAGAACACCCUCUCCUGCCUCUGCCCCAAGCCACUAAACCCAGAAUCUCCAGGAAAUUUCAUUGCUGUACUAGUGCCCUCAGCAGGUCUUCCCAUUAGUGGACUUCUGAAGCCCAUGGUGAAUCCCACUACAGCAUCUCAGAUGGGACUCAAACUAGGCUGUAUCAUCUUGUCCUGAAACCUCACAAACCUUGGACUUCCAAA